AAUGGGCAGGGAAGGGAUUCAAAAAAUUGCGUGUGAAAAAGAAAAGGAAAAAGUAGGAAAAUACAGGUAUGUCCCCGUUGCCGUGAAAGAAAGGGAAAAUCACCUGCACUGCCCCUGCGAGUGAGUUUAAUAAGGCGGUUUCAUUGCCGAAACGACCGCCAUCAUGGAUCGGUAUCAGAGGGUGGAGAAGCCGAGAGCGGAGACGCCAAUGAACGAGAACGAGAUUCGCAUCACCACUCAGGGCAGGAUGAGGAACUACAUUACCUAUGCCACCACUCUGCUCCAGGAAAAAGGAUCUAAUGAAAUUUCUCUGAAAGCCAUGGGCAGAGCCAUCAACAAAACUGUGAUGAUUGCUGAAUUGAUUAAGCGAAGAAUCGCUGGUCUUCAUCAGAAUACUGCAAUUGGUUCUACUGAUAUAACUGAUGUGUGGGAGCCGCUAGAAGAGGGACUUCUUCCCCUGGAAACUACUCGCCAUGUAUCAAUUAUAACAAUUACUUUGUCCAAGAAGGAACUAGAUACAUCCUCCACAGGGUACCAACCACCUAUUCCGGCUGAUCAAGUUAGGCCCUGGACUGAAUAUGAGUAUGAAGGAGAGGGCUCUCCUAGCAUGCGUGGUAGAGGACGUGGUGGUCGAGGAAGGGGCAGAGGAAGAGGGAAUUUUAACAAUGGAGUUGUGGAGUAUAAUGGAGAUGGUGGCUUUGAUGGUGGGCGGGGGUAUGGAGGUAGAGGACGAGGCCAUGGAAGAAGUCGUGGCUAUCGUGGGCGUGGAAGGGGCUAUGGCGGUGGGAUUUUUCAACAGGAUUUUGGUGGUUAUAAUAACUAUGGGAAUAACUAUGGAGGUGGGCCAGCCCCUGCACAAGGCCGCGGGGUUUAAGGGAAGGGAGAAGCCUAGUGUUGGUAAAAGCUUUAUGUGCAUAGACCUUUUGAAGCCUAGGCACAAAGCGGCGUGGAAGAGGCAGGGGAAGAGGCCGUGGACGUGGUCGGGGUUUCAGAUCAGAUGGUCCUGUGCAGGCUGCUGCCUGAGUGCUAGACAAGGUAUAAAAUCUUGGUUGCUGAAAGUUCUGAAUGCCUGCUCUCUUAUUCUAGGGAAAAGAAAGAAAAAGGAAGAAGUAUUGGAUUUCACUAAUGAAUUUCUAGGCAUAUUAGUUAUAGUGAGCUACUGCACGUUGUGUGGUGGCCUUGUUUUUGUAGUUUGAAGGUAGGCUAAUUCUUAUUUGAUUGCUGACAACACUUCAAAGUUUUACACCUUUCUCUUUUAGGUAAUAAUAGGGCAGCACAUUCUUUCAUUUCUUUCGCAAAGGAGCAGAAGUUUUUACUAUAUUGUUAGGGUUUGGUGUUUUGUGUCAUGAGCUCUUCUUUGGAUCUUGGUUUUAUGAGAUAGAAAACUGUAUGCCUACUUUAGAUUUUAUGAGUACGAAAGCAUGGCACAGUCCUAUAGGUUGUAGGCUUGA